rnacentral:rRNA from 1 species
CACGAAGUUAGCCGGGGCUUCUUCUCCGGUUACCGUCAUUAUCUUCACCGGUGAAAGAGCUUUACAACCCUAAGGCCUUCAUCACUCACGCGGCAUGGCUGGAUCAGGCUUGCGCCCAUUGUCCAAUAUUCCCCACUGCUGCCUCCCGUAGGAGUUUGGGCCGUGUCUCAGUCCCAAUGUGGCUGAUCAUCCUCUCAGACCAGCUAUGGAUCGUCGCCUUGGUAGGCCUUUACCCCACCAACUAGCUAAUCCAACGCGGGCUCAUCCAUCCCCGAUAAAUCUUUCCCCCGUAGGGCGUAUGCGGUAUUAAUUCCAGUUUCCCAGAGCUAUUCCGCAGAGAUGGGUAGAUUCCCACGCGUUACUCACCCGUCUGCCACUCUCCUUGCGGAGCGUUCGACUUGCAUGUGUUAAGCCUGCCGCCAGCGUUCGUUCUGAGCCAGGAUCAAACUCU